CUCGGAUCUACGAUCCCCUUGGAAUCGCAGCAGCCUUCCUGAUUCGUGCCAAGAUAGGGAUGCAAAAACUGUGGUUGGCUGGACUACAGUGGGAUGAAGAUUUACCGACAGAAUUCCAAGCUAACUGGUUACGAUUCUUCCGAGAGAUGAACGACCUGAAUAACAUCACCUUCGAGAGGUCCCUUACGCCAGACAUCGUUAUUGGAGCUCCUGUGCUUUGCAUCUUUUCUGACGCGUCGAUCGAAGCCUUUGGAGCGUGUGCAUACGUUCGAUGGGAGACCGAAACCAACACCUUUGUAACUAGAUUUGUCGCUGCAAAGUCGAGAGUAGCCCCGCUAAAGUCUCUAACCAUACCUCGCCUAGAGCUACAAGCAGCAGUCCUGGCAGUAAGAUUAUGUCGUUCAAUAAUUGAAGAGUCUCGGAUGCAAUUCGCAAGCAUUAUCUUCUUUUCUGACAGCCAUAUUGUCCUCUCGUGGAUCCGCAACCAAGCUAGAGAGUUCAAACCGUUCGUGUCCGCCCGAGUCGCCGAGAUCCAGAGCAAGUCAAAGCCAGAACAGUGGAGACACGUUCCCGGAGAGUUAAACGUCGCUGAUGAUGUGUCGCGAGGAAUACCCGCUCAACAACUCAGUGGCAGAUGGAAGUACGGUCCAGAGUUCUUGAAGUUACCUGAAGGAGAAUGGCCAAAGGGGUCGGAGUGUGAUAAUGUUCCCAAGGAAGUUGAUCAAUCUGAACGUCGAAAGGCCCAACCCGUAUUACAGGUAAACCAAUCGUCAGAAGAACUCCUUCCGUGCAAGAAGUUCUCCAGUUGGAGGAAACUCAUCCGAGUCACUGGGUACGUGCUCCGAUUUAUCCACCGGGUAAAAAACAAGCAUCGAACGAAAGAAAACAGCGAACAAACCCAAACGAAGGACACACCCGAGGUUGAACCGACUUCCGCGAAAGAGUUGCAAGAUGCAGAAUCGUACUGGAUAAAGCAAAGUCAAAAGUCACUACACGCUCGCCUGAGAAAGGGAGAACUUAAAGGACUAACGCCAUUCAUCGACAAAGAGGGUAUUAUCAGAGUUGGAGGACGCGUAAACAAAGCAGUGAUCUCUUACGACGCUAAGCACCCGGUAUUACUCCCACGUGAACACUGGACGUCUCUUCUGAUUACUCGAUAUUACCACCAAAUUGGCCAUUCAGGAGUUGCAACAACCGUCGCAAAAAUCAAGAAAAAGUAUUGGAUUAUUCGAUGUCAUGAUCUUGCUAAGUCGGUAAAGUUUCAAUGCGUAGACUGCCGCCGAAUUCAAGCGAAAGUCGAACAGCAGUUCAUGUCAGAUUUACCAAUUACCCGUCUGGAGCCACUUACACCACCAUUCCAUCGCACGGCAUGCGAUUACUUCGGUCCAUACCACGUUAAGAUAGGUCGAAGCAAGACGACGAAGCAUUAUGGCGUUCUCUUUACUUGCUUGAAUACCCGAGCCGUGCAUCUGGAAAUCGCAGUCGACUACUCCACAAUGGAAUUCCUACAAACGCUACGCAGAUUCUUCGCAAUACGAGGACAACCAGCCUUGAUGAUCUCUGAUAACGGUACUCAACUGGUAGGAGCAGAGCGUGAACUCCGAGAGAUGAUAAAGGGAUGGAAUGAAAAAGAGUUAAAGGAAUUCAGCGCUGAGAAAGGAAUGGAGUGGAAGUUCAUAACUCCAGUCGCGCCCCACCACAACGGAUGCGCCGAAGCGAUGGUAAAGAGUUCAAAGAAAGCCCUGAAGACCGCCAUUGGUGAACAAGUUUUGACCCCAUUUGAACUAUACACAUACUUGCUGGAAGCUGCUAACCUGAUAAAUCAAAGGCCUAUUGGAAGGAUUCCCAACGACCCAGAUGAUGGAAGUUUCCUGUGUCCCAAUGAUAUUCUUCUUGGUCGAGCGUCAACUGUGGUACCGCAGGGACCAUUCCGAGAGACGAAAAACCCACGACACCGUGUUGAAUUUAUUCAGAAGAUUAUCGAUAGUUUUUGGAAGCGUUGGUACAGAGAUGUUUUUCCAUCACUAGUACCGAGGAAAAAAUGGAAGGUCGAGAGAAGAAAUGUCAGAGUUGAUGAUAUCGUAGUCGUUCAAGAUUCGAAUGCCGUUCGUGGAAAUUGGAUUACUGGCAGAGUUGUUAACGUGUUUCCUGGAAAGGAUGGAAAAAUACGCAACCUGAAAGUGAAGACGGCAACCUCGUACUAUGAAAGGCCUAUCACCAAGAUCGCAGUAAUAUAUCCGGCAGAAGGACACGGAGAUAAGUAUUAAAGUUAUGGGAUGAGGAGGUAUCCUCAUCGCGGGGGGAGAGUGGAUCGGUAGCGUGGUAUUCACGUGAACCGCACGAACGCCGGAAGUGAACUUUGCACUUAACGAUUGCAUCAGACAAUGAAAUACAGAUCGAACUGUUUUAGGUUUAUAUUUAAGGGAAAUAAAUUCUUAGUUUUGUUAAAAAUAUACGGCUAACCAGGAACUAAGUUGGAUGCACUAUUAUCUAAGGAAUAUCGCCACAGAAGUAAGACAUUUUCGAACAGUUUAUUGACACAUAUAGCCUAGUAAUAUUGGAUUUAAGUUACGAUAUCUAAAUAUUAUUUAAUUACUUUAUUUACUUUAUAUAGAUCGAAUUGUACCUUGGUAUAUUUAAUGAUUCGUUAUUAAUUUAUCAAUAAUACGAUUUGCGAUACUUCCUUUGCGUGUGCAUGUGUGUUUAUAUGGAUUUUGCUAACCGGUCGUCUCUGUUCUGAGGAAACAAUCGUGGUUGCUUUCAUCUUCCGUAAUCCAUUUGGUAUGUCUUGGGACUGCUAUAUGAGAACACAGUUUUAACCUCUUUGUAGUUGAUAAAUUACUGUGUUGGCCUUGCCUUCUCUUGCUUCCGCGCCCUGCUUGUUGUAGUAGGGCUUUUGCUCCUUGUUCGGCAAAGUCUUUAACAUUUUCCCCUUGGAGUACCGAUCCUGACCAACUUCUGUGGCUGCUUGUAAUGCUCUUUUGCCGACAACUUUAGCACCUUGUUUGAAUAGAGGGAUCACCUCGCAAGGCUCUUGAAAAUACCUCCGAUCCCAUAACCUCUUUGAAAACGUGCACCACGAUACCCAGCGAUAUUCUCACCACGUUGUUGUCUCAAGAAAUGGUCUCUCAGUGACUCAGUAGUUUUUCGUCUACAACAAGUGUACCUCUCGGCAUGUUGAUGUGUUCAGUCACGCAGUCAACUGAUGAAAUAGCGCUUUGGACACUUGAAAAUCACAGACCAUACAGCGACAGCUUUUACAAUUCGGAUAAAAAUCUGUCCGUGUGCAUACGGGGCACGUACACAAACUGGAUAUGUAUAUAUCUUUGUUACAACUGUUACAAGUUGCGUCAGCAUCAGAUUGUGUAUCCUGACGGGACCACUUGUGGGCUAACACAGAAAGGACGUACAUGUCCAUUUACGAUUAGGUUUUAUCAAUUUCCAAUUCUGUAAGACCUUUUAUAAAAAUGCUCAAUCCAGUUGGUUCGGGAAUAUCUGGAUGAUAAGGCGUCACGCAAUAUUUCAGAAUUAGGUCUACAAUGUCAGUUCCUCGUAUAUUAUGUCCUCUGUAAACGAUUUCUCCUUUUCCAUUCCAAGUCAAAAUCCUCGUAGAGGUUAAAAUAGAAUGAAGGAUUUCUUCGGCUUCAUGUUCACCA
rnacentral:lncRNA from 1 species